GUAAUUUUAUCAAGGGAAGAUGAUUAUGAAGCUGAAACACGUGAUGAAGAUGAUGGCAGUGGUGACUACACAGAUGAAGACAACCAACCCCCUCUUUCCUCCUCAGCUGCCAACAACAUCAGGGGUUCCUCUCGCUCCUCUUCCACAGCUAACCUCAACCACCUCUUUCUGGUUUCUGUUCUCUUAGUUUUGUGCCUGUUCGCAUAUUAAAAUGCAUAUUUUAUUAUGUUUGUCGUAACAUUUGUUAAACUGGCUACUGUACAUGUAACACAUAUGGCUAACACAUAAGGCAUUAAGGCGACUGUACUUGUAACACAUUGUAAACUUUAAUAAACCGUUAAGCCAUCUGCUCGAUCCUUAUUGGGUCAUAUCAAGCUUGUUGCGAGGAAUCUUGGUAUCUGGUUUGACAGUAAUUGAGCUUUUGAGCCGCAAACCACAAAGCUUGUGCAAUCAUGUUUUUAUCAUAGAUAUAUAUCGAAAAUACAAUCUAUAUAAACUUUUAAGGACACUGAGACCAUUUUACACGCCUUCAUCUCAUCAUGCCUGGAUUGCUGCAACAGCCUUUUUACUUGCUUGAACCAAAAAUCUAUUGAUGGACUCCAGACUGUGCAGAACUCAGUUGCCAGGCUUUCAAGCAGAACCAAGAAACGUGAUCACAUCGCUCCUGGCUACUGUACAUGUAACACAUAUGGCUAACACAUAAGGCAUUAAGGCGACUGUACUUGUAACACAUUGUAAACUUUAAUAAACCGUUAAGUGAAAA